UCCCAAAAAUAAUAAAUACCACAAAAAUAGGUACAAUUUAGUUACAGACUACCGAACACAAAAAAAUAAACAAGAAGGUCAAAGUCGAAAGGCGAAGUGCUUCCAGGACCGCUCCUCGCCUUAACCUUGCUUUUACCUGUGGAAUCAGAAUGCCACCCAGGACACCCUGCCACCCAGGAUACGUGCAAACUGCCGGAUAGGGGGCAUCCGCAGGAGCUCGGAACCCCUGGGAAAAUUAAUAAAUUAUUGAGGGGCCAGGUUGGGGGGACUACUGAGGUGCGCACGUGAUUGCUGGCUUCUUUUUUUUUUAGAUCCUUUCAGGAUGGUGGUGAAAAAAAUACAUUUGCUGAAUGAAAUUCAAUUCCAUAAAAGUAGUGUAUAUAACAUAACAUUUUUGAAAGGAUUUAUGUGAAAUAAAAUAUUAUUAUAUAAAUAAUACAAUUUCAGUAAGCUAAGAAUUUUCCCUAGAGUCUUCUAUUAAAAGCU